AUGCACCACUUCUUCCUCUUCCUCAUUUUCUUGCUUCCCCAUGAAACCAGCUACUCGGCCGCCGCAGCUUCCGGCAGCGGUAGCCAGUGCAGCCGGCGGUGCGGCAGCACCGCCGUCCCCUACCCUUUUGGCUUCUCCGCCGGCUGUCCCAUCCCGCUGUUCUGCGACGCCAGCAUAUCCACGCUGAUCCUCCCAUACAUAGGAAAGAACGGCACAACGUACCGCGUGAUAGCCUUCAACUCCACCACCUCCACCGUCGUUGUCGGUCUCCCGCCGUCAUGCAGCCGCAGCGUCCCCGAGGCCAGGAGGGAGCUCUCCGGGGGCAACUACGGUGUGUCGUCUCGCACCUGGAUGUUCCUCCGUGGUGGCUGCAGGGAGAUCAACGCGUCGGUGGGCGUUGGAUGCAGCGUGCCCGUGGACGUCAUGUCCAGGCUGCUCCGCACGGCGCAGUGCGACGGCCUCAGCAACGAAACCUCUGUGGUGUGCGUCGCUUCCACCGCGGCGGAACAGUUUCUGCGGUGGGAGAAGGUCGAGAAGCAACAGUGCGAUGACGUGCUGACCUCCGCAGUAAUCGUGGACACGGCGGAGGGGACGGUGUCGCUGGAGUACGGGCUGGCAGAGCUGGGGUGGUGGCUCAACGGCACGUGCACCGGCGGCAGCGAGCGUUGCGCGGCGAACGCGACGUGCAUCGGUGUGAAAACACCAAGCGGGGAGAUGGGGCACAGGUGCGCGUGCGUGGCAGGGAUGGUUGGCGACGGGUUCCUGGCUGGAGACGGAUGCUACCUCGCACAUGCGUCUCGGUCGAAGCAUAGAAGAAAGCUAGUAGCGGUGUUGGCGUCUGUUGUUUCCGUCGUGUUCCUACUUUCUCUCUCCAUAGCGGCUUCCUUUCUCUUACCCCGCUGCCGAAGACGCAAUACCAUGAAGAAAACCAAACUAGCGUUGAAACUAGGGACAACAUUCUUUCGUGGUGAACUUGUCGACGACGAACUCGACCAAGGAGUUGAGGGCCCCCGACGAUUUUCUUACAACGAGCUUGCAUCCGCGACCGACAAUUUCUCUGAUGAUAGAGCGCUCGGGAGAGGAGGCUUUGGGUCUGUGUACCAAGGUUUUAUGAGCAACAUAAACUACGAAGUGGCUGUCAAGAGGGUCUAUGAGACUUCUCGACAGGGCUGGAAGGAGUUCGUCUCUGAGGUGCAGAUCAUUAGUCGUCUUAGGCACCGCAAUCUUGUGCAACUUAUCGGUUGGUGCCAUGGCGGUGACGAGCUCCUCCUUGUCUACGAGCUGAUGCACAAUGGCAGCCUCGAUACUCAUUUGUACAGAUCUGACUGCGUGCUGGCAUGGCCUGUUAGGUAUGAGAUAGUGCUCGGUGUAGGUUCGGCGCUUCUAUACCUACAUCAAGACACAAAACAGCGGGUCGUGCACAGGGACAUCAAGCCAAGCAACAUCAUGUUGGACGCGUCCUUCACCGCCAAACUCGGUGACUUUGGGCUCGCAAGGCUCAUCAACGACGGCCGGAGAUCGCACACGACCGGCAUAGCCGGCACGAUGGGGUACAUUGAUCCGGAGAGCUUGCUGGCCGGCAGGGCGAGCGUCGAGUCGGAUGUGUACAGCUUUGGAAUUGUCCUCCUUGAGGUAGCCUCUGGGCAGCGGCCAGCUCUAGUCCAGGAAGACGGUGACGUCGUCCACCUGGUGCAGUGGGUGUGGGACUUGUAUGGCAAAGGAUCAAUUCUAGACGCUGCCGAUGAGCGGUUUAGAGGGGAGUUCGACGGCAGAGAGAUUGAACAUGUUAUGGUCGUGGGGCUCUGGUGCGCGCACCCUGACCGUGGCAUGCGGCCAUCCAUCAGGCAAGCGAUGAAUGUGUUGCGGUUCGAAACACCAUUGCCGAGCCUCCCGGCAAGAAUGCCGGUGGCGACCUACGGGCCACCGACUAAUCCUUUGAGUUCCGGGACUUCUGUGCUGAGCAGCAUCAGUGGCCGGUGA
rnacentral:rRNA from 1 species